rnacentral:lncRNA from 1 species
UGGCAAGCACCAUUCUACUUUCUCCCUCUAUGAAUCUGACGUUCUAGGUUUCUCAUAUAAAUGGAAUUAUACAGUAUUUGUCCUUUUACGACUGGUUUAUUUCCUUGUCUUUUUUAAAAAAAAAUAGUAUCCAUCCUAAUGAGUGUAAGACAAUAUCUCACUGUCAUUUUGAUUUGCAUUUCUUCUAGUUAUUAGUGAUGUUGAACAUCCUUUCAUGCAUUUGUUGGCCUUUUAUGUAACUUCUC